UGGGGAAUAUUGCACAAUGGGGGAAACCCUGAUGCAGCGACGCCGCGUGAAGGAUGAAGGUCUUUGGAUUGUAAACUUCUUUGACGAGGGACGAAAACUGACGGUACCUCGAAAACAAGCCACGGCUAACUACGUGCCAGCAGCCGCGGUAAUACGUAGGUGGCGAGCGUUGUCCGGAUUUACUGGGUGUAAAGGGCGUGUAGGCGGGUUAUUAAGUCGCAAGUUAAAUGCAGAGGCUCAACCUCUGUAUGCUUGCGAAACUAGUAGUCUUGAGUAUCGGAGAGGAAAGCGGAAUUCCCAGUGUAGCGGUGAAAUGCGUAGAUAUUGGGAGGAACACCAGUGGCGAAGGCGGCUUUCUGGACGACAACUGACGCUGAGGCGCGAAAGCGUGGGGAGCAAACA
rnacentral:rRNA from 1 species